rnacentral:rRNA from 1 species
CCUUGCCAGCCCGCUCAGAACUCAAAGGAAUUGACGGGGCCGCACAAGCGGAGGAGCAUGUGGUUUAAUUCGAUGAUACGCGAGGAACCUUACCUGGGCUCGAACGUAAGAUGACUGUAGGUGAAAGCUUACAUCUCUUCGGAGCAUUUUACGAGGUGCUGCAUGGUUGUCGUCAGCUCGUGCCGUGAGGUGUCGGGUUAAGUCCCAUAACGAGCGCAACCCCUACCUUUAGUUGCCAUCAGGUUAAGCUGGGGACUCUAAAGGAACUGCCUACGCAAGUAGUGAGGAAGGCGGGGAUGACGUCAAAUCAGCACGGCCCUUACGUCCAGGGCUACACACGUGCUACAAUGGCCGAUACAGAGGGCAGCUACCUGGUGACAGGAUGCAAAUCUCCAAAGUCGGUCUCAGUUCGGAUCGGAGUCUGCAACCCGACUCCGUGAAGUUGGAUUCGCUAGUAAUCGCGCAUCAGCCAUGGCGCGGUGAAUACGUUCCCGGGCCUU